rnacentral:lncRNA from 1 species
GGGAGUUUGAAUUCUGGAUUCUCCCAGAAUCAGAAUCAGUCUGUAAUUAUGCAGCCACUGUCAUGAUCAGGAAACAGCCGCAGUAAGAAAAAUGCUGCUGUUGCUGGGGCACCAGGACCAUACCUUCUCUGCUAUGCCCCAAGAAACACAUGCUCAGGGCCCUGACUCUAGUUAGAAAGCUUGAGCCUGGACUUUAGGUUUCAGCUAUUGCUGCUCCAGAAAAACCAAAAGCAUCUUAACCAGAUUUCCAAGAGUAACACAAGCUGCCAAGUACACUGCACUUUCACCUUCUAUUUACUGUGCAAGGGCUUCACAGGGGGCAGAUGUUUAUACCCAACACCUGGCUGCAAGGAACUCUCAGGCAGAACUGAGGAUUGAACCUAUUGGCGCUUAACCACUGAGUCACCCUGCCGGGUUUCUGUUGGAGACUAAAAGGCUCAGGGGUCACUCCAGUUAAACUGGGCUAACUGAGCUGCGCAAAGUAACCACACAAGAAACACAAAUACCUUUUUCUUUGGGGUGGCUGUGACGGCUCCUCUGACCUUAAGGGUCCGCAGGAAGAGAGAGAGCAAGAGCACACGCUGACCCCUUUUAUUGAGGGAAGCUAUUCAAAUGAGGCAAGGGGUCAGGUUUCACGGGGCUGAGUAUCUUCAUGAUGUCCCAGGUUGACUGCCCCCUGGGUAGGCCACACCCAAGGGCACAGUAAGAGAAAGGGACACACACAAGGCACUUCUAUGGAAGAUUCUAUCCUAAACAGGACAAGGGGUCAUAUUACAAAGGAACAAGUGAGCAUAGCUUCACUCCAUGGGGCUGUAGCAAGACACACCCAUGCACGAGACACGGACCCUUGGACCCAAGAAGGGUGGGGAAAGCUCUGCCACAUUUCUGUGAUUGAGUACCUCAGUACCCAGCCAGGGAGUGUGACUCAGUCACGUGUAAGGUUGGUCUCCCACAUCACCCCCAGCUCUUUUUCCUUCUUUUUUUGAGACAGGAUCUUGCUAAGUUACAGAGGCCUUCAACUUGUGAUCCUUCUGCCUCAGCAUCCUAAAUCUCUGGAUUACAGGCAUAUGCCACCACACCUGGCUACCUUUUAUUUUGUCAGGCUCUGACACUAAGAAAGGCACUUAAAAAGGCUAUGAGUGGAUGUUGACACCACUUCUAUAUACGAUGAAGGAGUGAGUUCUAGAAUUUUACUAUUGGAAAGGACCUAGAGAUAUAGUCCAACUUGUUAAUUUUAGAGAGAAGGAAAUUGAGGCCCAGAGAGGUUAAAUGACUUGUUAGUGAUGGAGUAGAAACAGAACUCAAGUCUUUUACAUGGAGUUUCAUGUGCUUAAGGAGAUCUGUUUUACAGGAGUCAGGUGAUAUUGACAUUAGGUUUAUGUCUUCAUCUAAGGCACAUUUCUUUCCUCCCCAACCUGUGCUUGUGGAAAUCAUUCUGACCACCAAAAUGCAGAACCUCAUAUUUAUCUAUUUUGAAUUCUGUCUUUGAUUAAACAAUAUUGGUAAGACAAUAUUAUUCAAUAUUGAUAAGACAAUAUUGAAUCCCAAUGUGGUCUCUCUGAGUUGUAACAUACGCAAAUUAAUUAAGCAUAUAUUUAUGUCCUAAUUCAAAUUACUCAAAACAGGAAGGAGUUAAAUAAAACAGAUAAAAGAAAAGAAAUUUAGACGGGGUUCUAUGGUACUAAAAAUUUAUUUCUUGAUUGCCAUUGAUCCAAUCUACUUCAUUGUUCGAAUAUCCAGCAUAUAAUUCUCUCCCUUACCCACAAAAGAAUCUGCCCCAAAGCCUAGGAUUACACAACAGGAGCUUUUCCCUUCUCUGCCUGUCUAGUUACCUGUCAAAAAAAGAAUUUGCUCUGGGCUGGGAUUGUGGCUCAGCGGUAGAGCGUUCCCCUAGCACGGGCAGGACCUGGGUUUGAUCCUCAGCACCACAUAAAAAUAAAGGCAUUGUGUUGUGUCCAUCUACACCUAAAAAAUAAAUUAAAAAAAGAAUGUGCUCUGUGUAAGACCAAGCUGGAUAAGCUUAUGC